rnacentral:rRNA from 1 species
GAAACUCAAAGGAAUUGACGGGACCCGCACAAGCGGUGGAUGAUGUGGAUUAAUUCGAUGCAACGCGAAAAACCUUACCUACCCUUGACAUGUCCGGAAUCCUGCAGAGAUGCGGGAGUGCCCGAAAGGGAAUCGGAACACAGGUGCUGCAUGGCUGUCGUCAGCUCGUGUCGUGAGAUGUUGGGUUAAGUCCCGCAACGAGCGCAACCCUUAUCAUUAGUUGCUACGCAAGGGCACUCUAAUGAGACUGCCGGUGACAAACCGGAGGAAGGUGGGGAUGACGUCAAGUCCUCAUGGCCCUUAUGGGUAGGGCUUCACACGUCAUACAAUGGUCGGUACAGAGGGUUGCCAAGCCGCGAGGUGGAGCGAAUCCCUUAAAGCCGGUCUCAGUUCGGAUUGGAGUCUGAAACUCGACUCCAUGAAGGCGGAAUUGCUAGUAAUCGCGAAUCAGCAACGUCCGCGGUCGAAUACGUUCCGGGCCUU